rnacentral:rRNA from 1 species
AUAGAUACCCGGGUAGUCCACGCCGUAAACGAUGAGUGCUAAGUGUUAGAGGGUUUCCGCCCUUUAGUGCUGCAGCUAACGCAUUAAGCACUCCGCCUGGGGAGUACAGCCGCAAGGCUGAAACUCAAAGGGAAUUGACGGGGGCCCGCACAAGCGGUGGAGCAUGUGGUUUAAUUCGAAGCAACGCGAAGAACCUUACCAGGUCUUGACAUCCUCUGACAACCCUAGAGAUAGGGCUUUCCCCUUCGGGGGACAGAGUGACAGGUGGUGCAUGGUUGUCGUCAGCUCGUGUCGUGAGAUGUUGGGUUAAGUCCCGCAACGAGCGCAACCCUUGAUCUUAGUUGCCAGCAUUCAGUUGGGCACUCUAAGGUGACUGCCGGUGACAAACCGGAGGAAGGUGGGGAUGACGUCAAAUCAUCAUGCCCCUUAUGACCUGGGCUACACACGUGCUACAAUGGAUGGUACAAAGGGCUGCAAACCUGCGAAGGUAAGCGAAUCCCAUAAAGCCAUUCUCAGUUCGGAUUGC